CAUAUCCGCGAAUAUCGAACGUCAAACCAACUUUAUUCCAGAACAAAACCACCGGUUUAUUACUCGCGCUCUCUCGCUCGUCCCCGUCUCUGAGAAACCAUGGCGGUAAACUUAAGUAAAAUUGUCGUGAAGGUAAAACUGAGUGACGGGCGAAUACAUGAAGCCAUGGUAACAUCUUUAAACGAAGACAACGAAAGUGUUACUGUGGAGUGGAUAGAAAAUGGAGACACGAAAGGAAAAGAGAUUGAUCUAGAGUGUAUAUUUUCACUAAACCCAGAUGUUGCUCCAGAGGAGGAGAUUUCUCUGAGCCCUGUAACACCACCUCCUCCCACACCUACCUCUUGUCUAUCUAUCAACAAGAUUCCCAAGAAUCGAAGGACUAUCGCUCCUGGAAGGGCUGAGAUCCCAUCCAGAGACAAUAAAGUCGGAUCAACUCGGGCGCGUCCUGGCCAGCAGCAGCCUGAGUCAGCCCUCCCUCCACCUGCUCAGCAACCAGCUCAACCUACACAGUCCCAAACACAGCAGAGCCAACAACAGCUGCAGAAUGCGAGGAGGAAGUCCAACUGUGUGAAAGAUGUAGAGAAAAUGCAGGAGAAGAGAGAGAGGCGGCGACUGCAGCAGCAAGAGAUAAGGGAGAAGAGAGCGCAGGAGGUGGACACAACAGUCCCCAACUAUGAAAUUAUGCAGAUGAUCAGAGAUUUUAGGGCAAGCCUGGAUUACAGACCACUAACCACAGCGGAUUUGAUUGAAGAGCACCGAAUAUGUGUUUGUGUGAGGAAGCGCCCUCUUAACAAAAAAGAACUCACUGCAAAGGAGCUGGAUGUGCUCACCAUCCCCAGUAAAGAUGUCGUCUUGGUCCAUGAGCCUAAGCAGAAUGUGGACCUCACCCGAUACCUAGAGAAUCAAACCUUUCGCUUUGAUUAUGCCUUUGACGACAGUACAUCAAAUGAAAUGGUUUACAGAUUUACAGCAAGACCUUUAGUGGAAACGAUCUUUGACAGAGGAAUGGCUACGUGCUUUGCGUACGGCCAAACCGGAAGUGGGAAAACGCACACCAUGGGUGGAGAUUUUUCUGGAAAGAACCAGGAUUGCUCAAAAGGAAUCUAUGCAUUAGCUGCUCGUGAUGUUUUCCUUAUGCUGAAGAAACCCAACUACAAGAAUUUGGAUCUUCAAGUCUAUGCAACCUUCUUUGAAAUUUACAGUGGAAAGGUGUUUGACUUGCUGAACCGUAAAACAAAGCUGCGUGUAAUGGAGGAUGGGAAACAGCAGGUGCAAGUGGUUGGGCUGCAGGAGAAAGAGGUCAGAUGCACUGAAGAUGUCCUCAAGCUCAUUGAGGUCGGAAACAGCUGCAGAACUUCAGGACAGACUUCUGCCAACGCUCACUCGUCCCGAAGCCACGCUGUCUUCCAAAUUAUUCUGCGCAGGAAGGGGAAGAUGCACGGCACAUUUUCAUUGAUUGACCUGGCAGGGAACGAGCGUGACGCUGAUACAUCCAGUGCUGACCGCCGGACACGGCUGGAGGGAGCAGAGAUCAACAAGAGCCUACUUGCACUGAAGGAGUGUAUUAGAGACCUGGGGCGGAACAAACUGCACACGCCGUUCAGAGCCAGCAAACUUACGCACGUGCUCAGAGACUCGUUCAUCGGCGAGAACUCGAGGACGUGCAUGAUUGCCAACAUUUCUCCUGGAAUGGCUUCCUGUGAAAACACUCUGAACACACUACGAUAUGCCAACAGAGUGAAGGAGCUGACCGUGGACCCGAACACCAUGGCUGAAGGAGUACGACCCAACAUCAACGCCAUCACCGAGCUGGACAUCAUGGAGGAGGAGUGGGAACUGAGUAGCUCCCCUCAGAGAGAUGACCUCAAGCUGCUCUGUGAACAGAAUGAAGAGGAAGUGUCUCCUCAGCUCUUCACCUUCCAUGAAUUGGUGUCCCAACUGGUGGAGAUGGAGGAGCAGGUACUGGAGGACCACCGAGCAGUGUUUCAGGAGUCAAUUAGAUGGCUGGAGGAUGAGAAGGUUCUGCUGGAGAUGACUGAGGAGGUGGAUUAUGAUGUAGACUCCUACUCUUCCCAGCUUGAGCACAUACUGGAGCAGAAGAUCGACGUCCUGAUUGAGCUCAGAGCUCUGCUUGAGUGAUAUGAAGGCUGGGAGUCUUGAAAAACCGGACAUCAAUCAAGCAUAAAGUGAGGUCGUUCCGCUCAGCCCUGCAGAAAGAGGAACAAGCCAUUACACUGUUCAACUUUCAGUUGUCUGACUGAAUGAUCUCAAGGAGGUUGCUGCUGCUCUGGGGUGUGAGUAGAGCUGUAUUUGGUCAAUAAUACUGAAUUUGGGGUGUGAGUAGAGCUGUAUUUGGUCAAUAAUACUGAAUGUUGUUGUUUCUUGGUUUUACUAGGACAUUGUCCUCUUAGACAUUUUUUUUUACUCUGUGCUGUUGCUAUUUUUGAUCCGCUGCACAAUGCUUCACUGUCUUAUCUGGUGUCUGGAAAACAUGUUGCUCAAAACACUUCACCUUUUUUCUGUUUUCAGGAAAAAAAAAAAAAAAGAUGCUAUAAACAG